AUUCUCCUGCCUCAGCUUCCGGAGCAGCUGGGACUGCUGGCGCCCGCCACUACGCUCGGCUAAUUUUUUUGUGUUUUUAGUAGAGACGGGCUUUCACCGUGUUGGCCUAGCGGUUCUCCAACUCCUGACCUCAUGAUCCCCCCGCCUCAGCCUCCCAAAGUGCUGGGAUUACAAGCGUGAGCCACCGCGACCCGCCAACACUCUUGACAACAGUGCUGUGCUAAGAACUUGGGGGACUUCAAAAAGUUCACCAGUUCCUGUGUCCAUGGGUGAAAAGAUUUUCUACAUCUUUCCUUGACUAGAAACAGAAGUCCUGAAACAAGAAUAUAACGUCAGGAGGCCAGAGGCUUUGUCCUGCCUAAUGUGUUAUUUCCACACUGAAUAAAAGCACCUGAGUCCUGGUAAGUCUAAUUUGCUAGGUGUGGCAAUAUGACCAGUGAAAAACAACAAGGGCAGCAUUUCCUGCAGUUCGGUGGCACAGUAUGGUUCAAAGAGGUAUAAAAGGAAGUCACAGGCAUUUUAAAAAGGUUGUACAUCUAGCAAUACCUAACAAAAUAGGAAAUCAACUUGGAAAGCCAAUGGCUGUGUUUUGAGUUUAUGGAGAGCCAUAUGUGGCAAGGAACUGAGGGUGGCAUCCAGGCAACAGACUUCAAGAAACUGAGGCUGUCAGUCCAACAACCCACAAGAACUGAAUCUGACCAACAAUCACAGGAACAAACUUAGAAGUAUACUCUUUCCCAGACAAACCUUCAGAUGAGACCACAGCCCCAGCCAUAAGCUUGAAAACAAUCUCAUGAGGGACCUUGAGCCACAGGCAUGUAGUAAAGCUAUGCCAGGAAUCCUGCCUGCCCCACAGAAAAUGUAAAAAAAAUAAAUUUUUAUUGUUUUAAGCCA
rnacentral:lncRNA from 1 species